CAACUAAAGGUGGAAUGUAAUCGAUCCUCAGGUUGUUAAAGCAGCAGUUGGUCUUCAGUUGAAUGAGUCUCUGAU
rnacentral:lncRNA from 15 species